UACGUGGGGUGCAAGCGUUGUCCGGAAUUAUUGGGCGUAAAGAGCUCGUAGGCGGUCUGUCGCGUCUGCUGUGAAAACUCAGGGCUUAACCCUGAGCUUGCAGUGGGUACGGGCAGACUAGAGUGCGGUAGGGGUGACUGGAAUUCCUGGUGUAGCGGUGGAAUGCGCAGAUAUCAGGAGGAACACCGAUGGCGAAGGCAGGUCACUGGGCCGCAACUGACGCUGAGGAGCGAAAGCAUGGGGAGCGAACAGG
rnacentral:rRNA from 1 species